rnacentral:rRNA from 1 species
UACGGGGGGGGCAAGCGUUAUUCGGAAUUAUUGGGCGUAAAGGGCGCGUAGGCGGUCCUUCAAGUCUCUCGUGAAAUCCCUCGGCUUAACUGAGGACGUGCGGGAGAUACUGCUGGGCUUGAGUCCGGAAGAGGGUGGUGGAAUUCCCAGUGUAGCAGUGAAAUGCGUAGAUAUUGGGAGGAACACCAGUGGCGAAGGCGGCUCACUGGACCGGUUCUGACGCUGAGGCACGAAAGCGUGGGGAUCAAACAGG